rnacentral:rRNA from 1 species
UGCUUUGAGCUAUAUUAUUUAUUCAAAGUAUGGCCUGCCCAGUGAAAUAUUUUAACGGCUGCGGUAUCCUGACCGUACAAAGGUAGCAUAAUCAUUUGCCUUUUAAUUGGUGGCUAGAAUGAAAGGUUGUACCAUUAAAAUUCUGUCUCAAACAAAUUAAAUAGAAAUUAUGUUGAAGGUGAAGACACCUGUAUAAAAAGGAAAGACGAGAAGACCCCGAAAGAGCUUAUAAACUAUAAAAGUUUAUUUUAUAGGUUGAUUUUGUUGGGGCGACAUGAGAACAGAAAAGCUUCUCUAUUUAAAUAAGAAAAACAAGAUCCAAUAAUUAUUGAAUGAGGGAAAGUUACCUCGGGGAUAACAGCUUAAUAAUUUCUUGAAGACCUAAUUUAAGAAGUGGAUUAAGACCUCGAUGUUGGACUAAAAUUACCAGAAGGUGCAGCAGCUUCUGGGUAAGUC